GAUGAACGCUGGCGGCGUGCCUAAUACAUGCAAGUCGAGCGAACAGACGAGGAGCUUGCUCCUCUGACGUUAGCGGCGGACGGGUGAGUAACACGUGGAUAACCUACCUAUAAGACUGGGAUAACUUCGGGAAACCGGAGCUAAUACCGGAUAAUAUAUUGAACCGCAUGGUUCAAUAGUGAAAGACGGUUUUGCUGUCACUUAUAGAUGGAUCCGCGCCGCAUUAGCUAGUUGGUAAGGUAACGGCUUACCAAGGCAACGAUGCGUAGCCGACCUGAGAGGGUGAUCGCCCACACUGGACCUGAGACACGGUCCAGACUCCUACGGGAGGCAGCAGUAGGGAAUCUUCCGCAAUGGGCGAAAGCCUGACGGAGCAACGCCGCGUGAGUGAUGAAGGUCUUCGGAUCGUAAAACUCUGUUAUUAGGGAAGAACAAAUGUGUAAGUAACUAUGCACGUCUUGACGGUACCUAAUCAGAAAGCCACGGCUAACUACGUG
rnacentral:rRNA from 1 species